GACGAACGCUGGCGGCGUGCUUAAUACAUGCAAGUCGAGCGAGGUUACUGUUUUGGAUCCCUUCGGGGUGAAGAAGCUUUAACCUAGCGGCGGACGGGUGAGUAACGCGUGGGUAACCUACCCCAAAGUCCGGGAUAACAGCGGGAAACCGCUGCUAAUACCGGAUGCCUUUACCUUGGGGCAUCUUGAGGUAAAGAAAGGCAACGCUUUGGGAUGGGCCCGCGUCCCAUUAGCUAGUUGGUGAGGUAACGGCUCACCAAGGCGACGAUGGGUAGCCGGCCUGAGAGGGUGGACGGCCACACUGGGACUGAGACACGGCCCAGACUCCUACGGGAGGCAGCAGUAGGGAAUAUUGCGCAAUGGACGGAAGUCUGACGCAGCGACGCCGCGUGAGCGAUGAAGGUCUUCGGAUCGUAAAGCUCUGUCCUUGGGGAAGAAGGUCUUCGGACUUGACGGUACCCAAGAAGAAAGCCCCGGCUAACUACGUG
rnacentral:rRNA from 1 species